rnacentral:rRNA from 1 species
UACGUAGGGUGCAAGCGUUAAUCGGAAUUACUGGGCGUAAAGCGUGCGCAGGCGGUUUUGUAAGACUGUCGUGAAAUCCCCGGGCUCAACCUGGGAAUGGCGAUGGUGACUGCAAGGCUAGAGUUUGGCAGAGGGGGGUAGAAUUCCACGUGUAGCAGUGAAAUGCGUAGAUAUGUGAAGGAACACCGAUGGCGAAGGCAGCCCCCUGGGUCAAAACUGACGCUCAUGCACGAAAGCGUGGGGAGCAAACAGG